AGGAAUAUUAAUUGAAAGGAUCUUAACAUCUUUAUGAAAAGAAAUCAGAUAAAUUAACAAAAAUCCGACAUAUGAUUCUUGAACUAAAAGACUACUAAAAAAUUGUGGCAAAAUAACUCCUUAUAUGAUCAAUAUACUUGCUCAUAUCUAGAAAAUGAGACAACUAGAAAAGAUAAUAUUUAUUAAAUCUUCAAUCAAGGGACACCAUCGUUGCUUGAAUGGAUAUCAUUCUUCAUUGGCAAUCACAAUGCCUCCUAAUUCUUCUAAAUAUCACGGUUGACCAUCAGUCCUACAAAACGUUGAGUAAUUUAUCAAAGUCAGUCCAUGUAAAUAAAUUGGCACAAAGUAUGACAUAAAUAAAUGUACUGAACAAAGUUGCUUAAUUUUUAACAAAGCCGCUUAGAGAUGUAUUGAACUUUUCUUGGAGUACUAUUUUCAUUUGAUCAGAAGUUUGAAGUUUAGAAACCAAUUCAGCCUUACUUAAUGCUGGUCCCACGGAC
rnacentral:lncRNA from 1 species